ensembl:lncRNA
CUUCCUGCUCCGUUCGCCGAGAGCCGCGCUGCCAGAAAGCGAGCGGGCGGUCGGGCAUCAUCUCGCGCAGAGGCUCGCUGUGGUCCUUGUCGCGUCCACGUCGUUCGUAGCGGGCAGUGGGCAGGCGGACCGGGUUUUGACGGAGACCGAGGAGUCCAGACGUAAAGUUUCAGUGUGGGACUGAAACGCCUGGAUUCCAGUCUCUACUUACUUUCUACAAGAUAAUUAACUCUGAAACCAGUCAAGGGACCCCGUGUUUCAACAUAAUCCAGUCCCUGUACCUUGGCACAGACAUCACAGAAAGACUUACAUACACAGUGUGUGAAAGUGUGUGGUUAAUGAUGGCCGCCGAGAGCAGCGCCACACUCUGGUGAAGUGAACAGUCUGUCCGAAGGGCUGGAGUCAUGUUGGCAAGGAAGCCCUGGCACUAUACUCAGGCUAGCUGUAGUAGUAACCAUGGGAACGAUGCGAAGACUCUGGGCCUGUUUGGUCGUCGUUGCCAUGGUUGUAUGCACAGUUUCCGAGAGUGGUAUCACUGACGACUUGACGAGCUCACAAGGGUCAUUGUCCUGCUGGAAGGUGAACCUCCGCCCCAGUCUCAAGUCUUUUGCAGACUCCAAGAGGUUUUCUUCCAAGAUUGCCCUGUAUUUGGCUCCAUCCAUCUUCCCAUCAACUCUGACCAGCUUCCCUGUCACUGCUGAAGAGAAGCACCCCCAGAGCAUGAUGCUGCCACCACCAUACUUGACAUUGGGGAUGGUGUGUUCGGAGUGAUGUGCGGUGUUAGUUUUCCGCCACACGUAGCAUUUUGCAUUUUGCCCAAAAAGUUCCAUUUUGGUCUCAUCUGACCAGAGCACCUUCUUCCACAGUUUUGCUGUGUCCCCGACAUGGCUUGUGGCAAACUGCAAAUGGGACUCAUUCUGGUUUUCUUUUAACAAUGGCUUUCUUCUUGCCACUCUUCCAUAAAGGCUAACUUUGUGGUGUGCACGACUAUUAGUUGUCCUAUGGGCAGAUUCACCUGAGCUGUAGAUCUCUGCAGCUCGUUUAGAGUCACCAUGGUCCUCUUGGCUGAAUUUCUGGUUAGCGCUGUUCUUGUUCAACCUGUGAGUUCAGGUGGACGGCCUUGUCUUGGUAGGUUUACAGUUGUGCCAUACUCCUUCCAUUUCUGAAUGAGUAGCCUAAGCCUGCUUUAAAUUUCUCAAUAACUUUAUCCCUGACCUGUCUGGUGUGUUCUUUGGACUUCAUGGUGUUGUUGCUCCCAAUAUUCGCUUAAACAACCUCUGAGGCCAUCAUAGAGCAGCUGUAUUUGUACUGACAUUAGAUUACACACAGGUGCACUCUAUUUAGUCAUUAGCACUCAUCAGACAAUUUCUAUGGGCAACUGACUACACUCAGACAAGAGGGGGCUGAAUAAUUAUGCACACCCCACUUUUCAGUUUUUUAUUUGUAAAAAUUUUUUGGAAUCAUGUAUGAUUUUCGUUCCACUUCUCAAGUGUACAAUACACUUUGUAUUGGUCUUUCACGUGGAAUUCCAAUAAAAUCAGUCGGUCUACAUGGGUAAUUCAAUUGAGCUUCUAAAGUUUCUUCAUUAAUAAGGUGUAAAGCCCUAGGGCUCUCAUGUUUCCUCCUUCCUAUGACCCCCCCAUCUAUAUCACAUAGCUGUCUUUGAUCAGUUUGAGACUGUCAAGUGAUUGUCAUUGUGAUACACAGCUCAGCACACGGUGCACACAACGAAAUGUGUCUUCUGCAUUUAACCCAUCACUCUUAGUGAUCAGUGGGCAGCCAUGACAGGAGCCCGGGGAGCAGUGUAUGGGGACUGUGCUUUGCUCAGUGGCACCUUAGCGGCACGUUGCCGCUUCGGGCAACUUUCUGAUUACGGAGCCUCUUCCUUAUCCACUAGGCCAACACUGCCCCGAAAUGUGUCCUCUGCUUUUAACCCAUCACCCUUGGUGAGCAGUGGGCAGCCAUGACAUGCGUCCGGGGAGCAGUGUGUGGGGACGGAGCUUUGCUCAGUGGCACCUUGGCGGAUAAGGAUUCGAACCGGCAACCUUCCGCUUCCCUAACCACUAGGCCAACACUGCCCCCACCAAAUCAGGGGAGAGCGUGAACGCAGUCACCCACUACCAGAAAUUAUGCAGUGAAGAUUCACACAUUUGGGGAACAUUGCACAGCCGGAGUGCAAUGGCUGAGCCUUGCCCUGGGUGAACCGCCUUCUUAAUCAUGGUAUCUCCCCUUCCUGGUAAGUAUCAUAUCAUUAUCAUAGUUAUUUGAAGAUUUCAGGUUCUCCUAGUAACCCACCCCAUCUUUUUAAGGAGUUUUUUUCCACUUUUGUACCUUAUGUGCUCAGUAUUAGUAAUGGUAGUUUAACCAAUGGAAUUAUACCUGUGAGUUUUAAGCAUGCUGUGGUUACACCACUGAUUAAAAAGCUUGGUUUUGACGCCACUGUAUUUUAAAAUUUUAGGCCAAUCUCUAAGCUCCCUUUACUCUCAAAAGUAUUAGAGAAAAUAGUUUACUACCAGUUGAAAUCAUUUUUGGAUGAGCACAAUAUUCUUGAAGUGUGUCAAUCUAGGUUUAAAAGCAGUCACAGCACUGAAUUGGCACUUAUAAAAGUUUUAUCUUCCUGUCUUGUUUGUACAAUUGGGUGGGCUUUCAGGGUGGUGUUUAAGAGUGGUUUAGGUCUUAACUAACUGAUAGAAGAUAGUCUCUGGGCUCUUCUGUUCUCUUUUUACUUACUUCCUGUACUAGGUUAAAUUCUUCUGAAAUUGUCACG